GCGCCAUUGUCGUGUGGGUUCGGGCCCUCGACUGCGAGGACGCGGCGGGGUGGGGGUGGGGCGGCUUCGAGAUUUCUGGGGAGCGGCAGUCGGGAAACAGCGCCCCUCCCAGCUGAAGCCGGACACUUGGAGGGUCCUGGGUGGGUGAGGUCGACUGACACCAAAGAGUGGCGAAGAAAGGAGCUGGUCUUCACAAACCGCCCAAAGUCAAGGUGAGGGUCUCCCAACGACCCUUGAAGGAUCCUGGCGAGUUUUUCCUGGUUUACAUCCCACUGCAUGCCUCUCUCUUCUGGCUGGACGAUAGUUAAAUCCUCACGUAAAGGUGACAAGCAGCUGGGCCGUGAUGGAGUCGCUGACCCUUGUUACUAAGGGGAAAUGUAGCCAUGCUGUGUGAAAAAGGAUUUUUUGUUGUUGUUUGUUUUUAACUUAAGAACCUAACUCAUUUCACAAAAGAAUGAUCGGUACUUGCCCAAAGUAAACUUGAUAAAUAAUUAAACUGUCAGGGCAUAGAGUUCCCAUAGAAGUACUUGUUCUUUUAGUACUCAAAUAAAGGGAUGCAAAAGUCAACAAGCAGAAAGGGUGAGUUAAUAUUGUCUUCUAAUCUACAGGAACUGAAAGAUUAGCUCUGGUUUGGUUGGUGACCAAAUUUUGUGAUUGCUUGCACAGAACUGCUCUGUUUGACUACCUCUGGCAAAUGUUGCAAGACCUCUUCUCAGUUGUGUGCCAAAUAAAGCAGGUUUUUUAUUCUC